UACGUAGGGUGCGAGCGUUAAUCGGAAUUACUGGCGUAAAGGGCGCGUAGGCGGCCACCGCAAGUCGACUGUGAAAUCUCCGGCUUAACCCGGAACGGUCAGCCGAUACUGCGGGCUAGAGUGCAGAAGGGGCAACUGGAAUUCUCGGUGUAGCGGUGAAAUGCGUAGAUAUCGAGAGGAACACCUGCGGCGAAGGCGGGUGCUGGGCUGACACUGACGCUGAGGCGCGAAAGCUAGGGGAGCGAACGG
rnacentral:rRNA from 1 species